rnacentral:lncRNA from 1 species
AUCCCAUUGAACUCUAUCCUGUUCUGUGAAAACGAGCAAGGAGGAAGAAGAAGAAGAUGGAACCAAAACAGAGUGCUCUUCUUCCCCCAAGGAGAGGAGAGGUGAAGAUUAGGAUAGUCAGGACUCUGUUGAAAUCCGCUAGUGGAGUCAGGUCAGUGGGUGAUGGAUUUGGGAAAAAGAAUUACUCAAACUCCACAUCGAACUCCAACUCAGGCCAAUUCUGAUCAGCAGUCUGUGCAGUAAUGCUUUAAUUUUGAUUGUAUUAAGUUUUUGGUACUUAUUCACUUUCUUGGACAUUACUAUCUGAUGUACUGUAUAAGCUGAUAUCUGUAUUUGUACACUGAGAGAAGAAAUUUCAAUUUGAUGGUUUUUAACUACAGAAAUUCACACGAGUAAGAACAGCAUAUCAUUACUAUUGGAAUUGGG